AUGUGGGAUGUUGGCUGGGGAAGGAAGGAAUUCCCCUUCAGGGACGGGAGGAGGAGGGUCAGGUGGAGGAGGGGUUGGGAUGUGGGAUGUUGGCUGGGGAAGGAAGGAAUUCCCCUUCAGGGGCGGGAGGAGGAGGCUCAGGUGGAGGAGGGGAUGGGAUGUGGGAUGUUGGCUGGGGAAGGAAGGAAUUCCUCUUCAGGGGCGGGAGGAGGAGGCUCAGGUGGAGGAGGGGAUGGGAUGUGGGAUGUUGGCUGGGGAAGGAAGGAAUUCCCCUUCAGGGGCGGGAGGAGGAGGGUCAGGUGGAGGCGGGGUUGUGAUGUGGGAUGUUGGCUGAGGAAGGAAGGAAUUCCCCUUCAGGGGCGGGAGGAGGAGGGUCAGGUGGAGGAGGGGUUGGGAUGUGGGAUGUUGGCUGAGGAAGGAAGGAAUUCCCCUUCAGGGGCAGGAGGAGGAGGGUCAGGUGGAGGAGAGGUUGGGAUGUGGGAUGUUGGCUGGGGAAGGAAGGAAUUCCCCUUCAGGGGCGGGAGGAGGAGGGUCAGGUGGAGGAGGGGUUGGGAUGUGGGAUGUUGGCUGGGGAAGGAAGGAAUUCCCCUUCAGGGGCGGGAGGAGGAGGCUCAGGUGGAGGAGGGGAUGGGAUGUGGGAUGUUGGCUGGGGAAGGAAGGAAUUCCCCUUCAGGGGCGGGAGGAGGAGGGUCAGGUGGAGGAGGGGUUGGGAUGUGGGAUGUUGGCUGGGGAAGGAAGGAAUUCCCCUUCAGGGGCUGGUGCGGAACCGGACUGUUUUUCACCGCUCUGUGCGCGGCUCAUUCAUUCAUUAGGCAGCAAGACGGGGGUGUUAUGGUGGUGGGUCUGCCACGCUGGCGCUGCCUCAUUACUCUCCCAAGGCUGGCAGGAGCGUACCACGGUGUGGAAUAUCUAACACCCCCUCCACUGUCCCCAACCCUGCCAGGGAAUGAUGUGAGCUCAACAUGUUGGAGUGUCUGCUCAUUAUUGCAGUAUCAUCAUAACUCAGCCAAGGACGUUGUGUGUGGAGGAGAACGGGAUAAGUGA
rnacentral:lncRNA from 1 species